UACAGAGGGUGCAAGCGUUAAUCGGAAUUACUGGGCGUAAAGCGUGCGCAGGCGGUUUUGUAAGACAGGCGUGAAAUCCCCGAGCUCAACUUGGGAAUUGCGCUUGUGACUGCAAGACUAGAGUGUGUCAGAGGGGGGUAGAAUUCCACGUGUAGCAGUGAAAUGCGUAGAGAUGUGGAGGAAUACCGAUGGCGAAGGCAGCCCCCUGGGACAUGACUGACGCUCAUGCACGAAAGCGUGGGGAGCAAACAGG
rnacentral:rRNA from 1 species